GACGAACGCUGGCGGCGUGCUUAACACAUGCAAGUCGAACGAUGAACCCGGAGCUUGCUCUGGUGGAUUAGUGGCGAACGGGUGAGUAACACGUGAGUAACCUGCCCCGAACUCUGGGAUAACUGCUGGAAACGGUAGCUAAUACCGGAUAUGACCAAUGAAGGCAUCUUCUGUUGGUGGAAAGAAUUUCGGUUCGGGAUGGACUCGCGGCCUAUCAGCUUGUUGGUGAGGUAACGGCUCACCAAGGCGACGACGGGUAGCCGGCCUGAGAGGGUGAUCGGCCACACUGGGACUGAGACACGGCCCAGACUCCUACGGGAGGCAGCAGUGGGGAAUAUUGCACAAUGGGCGCAAACCUGAUGCAGCAACGCCGCGUGAGGGACGACGGCCUUCGGGUUGUAAACCUCUUUUAGUAGGGAAGAAGCGAAAGUGACGGUACCUGCAGAAAAAGCACCGGCUAACUACGUGCCAGCCGCCGCCGUAA
rnacentral:rRNA from 1 species